UGGGGAAUAUUGGACAAUGGGCGAAAGCCUGAUCCAGCCAUGCCGCGUGUGUGAAGAAGGUCUUCGGAUUGUAAAGCACUUUAAGUUGGGAGGAAGGGCAUUAACCUAAUACGUUAGUGUUUUGACGUUACCGACAGAAUAAGCACCGGCUAACUCUGUGCCAGCAGCCGCGGUAAUACAGAGGGUGCAAGCGUUAAUCGGAAUUACUGGGCGUAAAGCGCGCGUAGGUGGUUUGUUAAAUUGGAUGUGAAAUCCCUGGGCUCAACCUGGGAACUGCAUUCAAAACUGACUGACUAGAGUAUGGUAGAGGGUGGUGGAAUUUCCUGUGUAGCGGUGAAAUGCGUAGAUAUAGGAAGGAACACCAGUGGCGAAGGCGACCACCUGGACUAAUACUGACACUGAGGUGCGAAAGCGUGGGGAGCAAACA
rnacentral:rRNA from 1 species